GACAGAGGUGCCAAGCGUUAGGCGGAAUCACUGGGCUUAAAGCGUGUGUAGGCGGAUCGUUAAGUACCUUGUGAAAUCCCACGGCUCAACCGUGGAACUGCUCGGUAUACUGGCGAUCUUGAGCCACCUAGGGGCAACUGGAACAAGCGGUGGAGCGGUGAAAUGCGUAGAUAUUGGGAAGAACACCUGAGGCGAAGGCGGGUUGCUGGGCCGACACUGACGCUGAGGCGCGAAAGCCAGGGGAGCGAACGGG
rnacentral:rRNA from 1 species